rnacentral:rRNA from 1 species
GUCGGGAAUUUUGGGCAAUGGGCGAAAGCCUGACCCAGCAACGCCGCGUGAAGGAUGAAGUAUUUCGGUAUGUAAACUUCGAAAGAAUGGGAAGAAUAAAUGACGGUACCAUUUAUAAGGUCCGGCUAACUACGUGCCAGCAGCCGCGGUAAUACGUAGGGACCAAGCGUUGUUCGGAUUUACUGGGCGUAAAGGGCGCGUAGGCGGCCCUACAAGUCACUUGUGAAAUCUCCGGGCUUAACUCGGAAUGGCCAAGUGAAACUGUAAGGCUAGAGUGCAGAAGGGGCAAUCGGAAUUCUUGGUGUAGCGGUGAAAUGCGUAGAUAUCAAGAGGAACACCUGAGGUGAAGACGGGUUGCUGGGCUGACACUGACGCUGAGGCGCGAAAGCCAGGGGAGCAAACGGGAUUAGAAACCCGUGUAGUCC